GGCCUAUUGAUUAUAAUUUUAGGUCUGACCUGCCCAAUGAUAUAAUAUAUAUAUAUUUAAUGGCCGCGGUAAUUUGACCGUGCAAAGGUAGCAUAAUCAUUAGUUUUUUAAAUGGAAGCUUGUAUGAAGGGUUUGAUGAAAAAAUAGCUGUCUCUAUUUAAAUUUUUUAGAAAUUUAUUUUUAAGUGAAAAAGCUUAAAUAUUUAUAAAAGACGAGAAGACCCUAUAGAGUUUUAUAUAAAUAAGAAUAAAUGAAAAGUUUAGAAUUUUAUAAUUUAUUUUUAGUUUAUUUAGUUGGGGUGAUUGAAAAAUUUGAUUAACUUUUUCUUUAGUAUAUCAUUAAUUUAUGAAUAUUUGAUCCUUAUAUUGAGAUUAUAAGAUGAAAUUACCUUAGGGAUAACAGCGUAAUCUUUUAAAAAGUUCUUAUUAAAAAAAAGGAUUGCGACCUCGAUGUUGGAUUAAAAGAAAUUAUUGGUGUAGAAGCUAAUAAAUUAGGUCUGUUCGACCUUUARAAUUUUACAUGAUCUGAGUUUAAACCGGUGUAAG
rnacentral:rRNA from 1 species